GCUCUCCUGAUUUUCAGGCCUCCAGACACGGGCGGACACCAAGAUGAGCUUCUACUUCUCUCACACCUGGGGACUCUCCAUCAAGAAAACCGCAGCUAAGGAAAAGGCUUUUUUAAGUGCAAAUGUCACCUGCUUCUGUUUUUUACAAACCUGAUGUAAGAAUAAAAGGUGUAA